GAUGAACGCUGGCGGCGUGCCUAAUACAUGCAAGUCGAGCGAACAGACGAGGAGCUUGCUCCUCUGACGUUAGCGGCGAACGGGUGAGUAACACGUGGGUAACCGACCUUUAAGACUGGGAUAACUUCGUGAAACUGGAGCUAAUACCGGAUAUGAUAUUGAACCGCAUGGUUCAAUAGUGAAAGACGGUUUUGCUGUUACUUAUAGAUGGAUCCGCUCCGCAUUAGCUAGUUCGUAAGGUAACGGCUUUCCAAGGCGACGAUGCUUAUCCGACCUUUGAGAGUGAUCAGUCACAGUGGGACUGUAACGCCGUCGCGACUCCUACGGGAGUCAGCACUAGUGAAUCUUCCACCAUGGGCGGAAGCCUGACGGAGCAGCGCCGCGUGAGUGACAAAGGUCUUCGGAUCGUAACACUCUGUUAUUCGAGCAGAACAAAUGUGUAAGUGACUAUGCACGUCUUGACGGUACCUACUCAGACAGCCGCGGCUAACUACGUG
rnacentral:rRNA from 1 species